rnacentral:rRNA from 1 species
UACGGAGGGUGCAAGCGUUAUCCGGAUUUACUGGGUUUAAAGGGUGUGUAGGCGGGCUUUUAAGUCAGUGGUGAAAUCUCCGGGCUCAACCUGGAAACUGCCAUUGAUACUAUUAGUCUUGAAUUUUGUUGAGGUAGGCGGAAUAAGUCAUGUAGCGGUGAAAUGCUUAGAUAUGACUUAGAACACCAAUUGCGAAGGCAGCUUGCUAAACAAAUAUUGACGCUGAGGCACGAAAGCGUGGGGAUCAAAC